ACCAUCCUCCAAGGCUAAAUACUCCUGACUGACCGAUAGUGAACCAGUACCGUGAGGGAAAGGCGAAAAGAACCCCGGCGAGGGGAGUGAAAAAGAACCUGAAACCGUGUACGUACAAGCAGUGGGAGCACCCUUUGGGGUGUGACUGCGUACCUUUUGUAUAAUGGGUCAGCGACUUAUAUUCUGUAGCAAGGUUAACCGUAUAGGGGAGCCGGAGGGAAACCGAGUCUUAACCGGGCGUUAAGUUGCAGGGUAUAGACCCGAAACCCGGUGAUCUAGCCAUGGGCAGGUUGAAGGUUGGGUAACACUAACUGGAGGACCGAACCGACUAAUGUUGAAAAAUUAGCGGAUGACCUGUGGCUGGGGGUGAAAGGCCAAUCAAACCGGGAGAUAGCUGGUUCUCCCCGAAAGCUAUUUAGGUAGCGCCUCGUGAAUUCAUCUCCGGGGGUAGAGCACUGUUUCGGCUAGGGGGCCAUCCCGGCUUACCAACCCGAUGCAAACUGCGAAUACCGGAGAAUGUUAUCACGGGAGACACACGGCGGGUGCUAACGUCCGUCGUGAAGAGGGAAACAACCCAGACCGCCAGCUAAGGUCCCAAAGUCAUGGUUAAGUGGGAAACGAUGUGGGAAGGCCCAGACAGCCAGGAUGUUGGCUUAGAAGCAGCCAUCAUUUAAAGAAAGCGUAAUAGCUCACUGGUCGAGUCGGCCUGCGCGGAAGAUGUAACGGGGCUAAACCAUGCACCGAAGCUGCGG
rnacentral:rRNA from 1 species